GUCCUUUUGAUUAUAAUUUAAGGUCUAAUCUGCUCAAUGAUGAUGUUAAAUUGCCGCAGUAUUUUAACUGUGCAAAGGUAGCAUAAUAAAUAGUUUUUUAAUUGAAAGCUGGAAUGAAUGAUUGGACGAGAAAAUUUCUGUCUCUUUUUAAUUUUUUUUUGAAUUUAACUUUUAAGUUAAAAGGCUUAAAUGUAUCUAAAAGACGAGAAGACCCUAUAGAGUUUUAUGUUUAUAUAUAUUAUUUUUAUUAAGAAUUUAUUGAUUUAAUUUAUUUAAUAAUUUAGUUGGGGUGAUUUAAAGAUUUAAUAAACUCUUUUAAUUAUUAUCAUUUAUUUAUGAAUAAAAAGUCUAAAAAUUUUAAUUUUAAAAUUAAUUACCUUAGGGAUAACAGCGUUAUUUCUUUUUAGAGUUCUUAUUAAAAAUGAAGUUUGCGACCUCGAUGUUGGAUUAAAAUUAAUCUUAGGUGUAGAAGCUUAGGAAUUGAGUCUGUUCGACUUUUAAAAUUUU
rnacentral:rRNA from 1 species